UUAUUUGAAACAGGAUACAACCUCUAACACUGGGUAAAUUACAGUAACCCAAACAAAGUAGGCCUAAAAGCAGCCACCUUUCAAAAAGCGUCAUAGCUUUACCUCCCUUACACCCAAUUAAUAAAAUCUCCAUUAACCCUUCACCAGUACUGAACUAUUUUAUAUCUUUAUAAAAAUAAUUAUGCUAGAACUAGUAACAAGAAUAUUGUCCUUCUCCUAAUGCAAGUAUGAAUCAAAAUGACACCCAAUGAUAAUUAACGUAGAUACAUAAAAUAUAGUAACAAAUACCAAGAAAAUUCUAUAAUUUCAAACGUCAACCUUACACCAGAGCAUUACAGGAAAGAUUAAAAGAGAAAGAAGGAACUCGGCAAACUUCAGCCCCGCCUGUUUACCAAAAACAUCGCCUCUUGAUUUCCAUAAGAGGUCCAGCCUGCCCAGUGACAAAGUUCAACGGCCGCGGUAACCUAACCGUGCAAAGGUAGCAUAAUCACUUGUUCUCUAAAUAGGGACUCGUAUCAAUGGCAUCACGAGGGCUUCACUGUCUCCUUUCUCUAAUCAGUGAAACUGAUCUCCCCGUGAAGAAGCGGGGAUUCUUCU
rnacentral:rRNA from 1 species